CUCUCCAUCAGGAACUCAUUACUGUUAUUAUAUGCUGUAAGCCGAAUCCGUGGAUAUGUGGACGGAGUAGCGUGCUCUUAAGUGGCAGCAUAGCAUGAAGACUGUGAUGCAUGUAGUGCACAGUGAUGUCCAGCAGCUGUUGGGCGGCGUUUCAUCUCCUCGCCGCUCUGUUGACAGUGGACACUGUCCUACGAACACUCAGCAGUUUGCCUCCAUUACUGAAUGCAAUCAUCAUCUCCAAACGUGGGGCUGGACUAUGUUCUAAGCAACCUCUGUCCCAACUCUGUCAGAGGGAUGAGAGGAAAUGGUGGUUUUAGGAUCCACCUGAGGCUAUCUGCCCCCCCAAAAGGGUUCAGCCCACACAGUGCAUUAAACACAGAGAGACAUGCAAAGUUAUUGUUUUAUCAUGAAGUACAAAAACUGUCAGUUCAACAGUAAAGUGAUCCAGUCGAUGAUCGUGUCUGUGUUUGUCAAAUGUCAGAACCUGAAGUGAUAAAUGGCUUUUAGCUCUAAAGCAGGUUUUGAAGCCAGAAUGGUGCAGUUAGGGAUCAACAGCUGCAGACAUCAGCAGCGUCAAACACCAACAAACUGUAGAAUAUUUAUAGAAAAGACACUAAAACUGUGCUGAGAACGCAUUCACUUCAGACUUCAAAUUUAAUUCAUGCUUUUCAUUCUGGUUUAAACAAGAAGCGCUUUACACAUAAAAACAAAUAAAAUACUCAUAACAAAUGAACAGAAAGAAAAAAAUACAUGACAGUCACACAAAAUUAGCCUCCCUCCCUCUCUUAAUUCCUCCCACCCAGUUUUCCCAAUAUAACCCUUUUAAAGCUAUUAAAACCUGGAGGGGUGGAUGUGUCCUGUGGCCGAACAUGACGGACGGCAGUCAUGUUGGGACAAAACAUCAGUGCAGCCCUGAGGUGAAUGAGGAGGAUGAACCAGUGUCAUGAACCGGCGGUCAGGCUGAUGUUCAAGACCAUAACGAGUCCAAAAGAUGCUGUCAGCAGAUCUCACCUGUAUGUACAGAACUAAGAACACUCCUCUGACAUGGCAUGCAUUUCUCAUAAUAGAAGUGCCAGUAUUUAUGAUUUAUGAUUUUAAAAGCAAAGCAGAAACUUUCUGGACUUGAACUUCUCUCAGGAUCACUCAGACUUUAUAGAAGAAGAAACUUCACAUGGAUUCCCAGCCACUGUGAUUCAGUGUCAUUGGUAUUAGAAGAGAUACUGAAACUCUAAGUGAAGUUCUAUGGUAUAAAAUAAUCACACUGAAAAGAUGUCACGUUGAUGUGCGAAAAGUAGAAACACAAGUGAUAAUAACUCUCUGCUGAGCAUCCUAAAGUAAGGUUACUCAAUUUGGCAUACACUUUUUAAAUCAAAAUAGACCUUAUGCAUUUUUUCCUGACUUCAAAUAAAAUCCAGAAAUCAGUUCGACAACAGCCCAGUCUACCACCAAAACAUUUCUGUCUGCAGAUACAGCCUGAUAAGAGCUGAUUGCACUGCAGGUAUGUCUGCUGUGAGCCACGCUUUAGCUCUUUAGCUCUAGUACAGAGUGUUUUUCUGUACUCUCCGUUCUUCAAGUCGACAUGGAUUCACCGCCUCUAACUAACUGCAAUACACUUAAAUUGGGCUGCAUAGGAAAAGCAAUUGGUCUGAAAGUCUUUUAAAUCACCUGCUGUAUUGCCAUUUUCCCUCCGUGUGGGUUCGAUGGGAGCUGGAGAAGCGAGGAUGCUCUCCCUGCCAGUGUGGGAGGAACUGACACCUUCUAGCUUUGGCUCAGGAAACCAAACCCACAUCAAGCAAACGGCCCAUGUGCCACUCUCUUCCUCUUUAAAUUGCUCAAGUCUACAUCCAGGUUAUAUCCUUCAGGACUCCCAGGCUGAGGUGAUCUCUGUUGUUCAUUCUACCAGGGUUUGGAUUAUACGAGGAACUACAAACAUGGAGUUGUUGGUAGUUCUUUGUUGAUGAGAGUUAAACCCACAGUAGUCAGGGAAAUCAUCUAAAACAAUUAAAAACAUAAUAAAACAUUAAAAGUACUAAAAAUAAACCCAUAAAAUCAGACGUUUCUGUUGAGUAGUUGUUUAACAGAACCAUUUUACAAAGCAAACCUAAUAUAACAAGUGUGGACUUAAGGAUUUGUGCUCCAAAAAUGAUUUGACCAUAAAUCAAUUCUGUUCUCUCGGCGGCAUGAUGCAUGGUGCUGCUUGGUGAUGGUCUGAGCCACACUGAGCAUGGACAACAGACAGAGAAGGAGAGAGUUUUUCUGGAGAUUAGUAAGAAAUCAGAGCCAAAAAUGUUGAAGGCUGCUGGAACGUCUCCAAGCAGCUGGAUGUUCCUGUGACUACAGCUGCUUUACAUAUUAGAAAAUGUACACAUUUACAGGUCUCUGGAUGUGGCAGCAAAAAGAGAAACUGAUGUCUGAUCAGCUUAUCAGCAACGUUUGUUGAAAGUGAUCAUUUUCCUUUUUAUUCAACUAUCAGGAUAUAAUUAAACAUCCCACCUUGUCCUUUGAGCGUAUAAGACGGAACCAAGAACAAGAUCUUUGUUUACAGAUGCAGAAACGAAGCCUAUCAAGGAAAGAAGACCAUCCCUGCUGUAUACAUGGAGAAGGCUUGUUUAUGGUCUGGGCUGCAUUGAGGCGUCAUAAGAAGGCCCUGGUUCGAAUCUCUGCCGGGUCCUUCCUGUGUGAAGUUACAUGUUCUCCUCAUGGAUACGAGGACAACAUGUAACUUCAGAGUGUGAAGCGCAUGGACUGGCAAACUGUUCCCCAGUUGUUGCGUAGGCUCCAGCACCUCCAUGACCCCCAUACAUGGGAAAAAGGUGACUUUAGAAAGUUGAUGGACAGAUGUGCUGCACUUCUGGCUCUAGAACAGGGUGUGUUGAAUAUGAAUCUCCUUGACUUCUACUUCCACAGAGCAUGAAUCCACACUCCCAGCCACUUACCCUCCCAGCUCUCUGCCAACACCAGCCUGCUCAGCUGGAUCUGCUGUUCACAGGCGUCGUGUUAUUGUAGGCGCUGUAAGCUGCCGAACACCCCAGUAAAGCCCCAAAGGCCCUCUCUAGUGCUGCCUAAUCCACCUUAUUGUGUGACGCCUACCAGCCAUUCAACAAGUCUUAACCUCUCACGUCCCCGGAGCAUUCCCCCACCGCUCUAAUGACGGCGAUCCUUUCCUUUGGGGCUGAUGUCACAAGGGAGACACCGUGUCCUGCGACCCUGAUGGCCAGACUUCAAAGAAACGACAAGUCAGCACAAGAUGUGAGGCUGGAAAAAGCUAUCAGUGCAACAGCAGAGGAUGCCACAGCUGGAGAUAACAGGGCAGAGUUUCAGGCGGCGGCAGCAGUGAGCUGGUGAUGGUGGGAGCUCUCAAGACGAGGAAGGAAAUAAAAGUGACCGAUUUUUGGAGACAUCUCUUCUCAGGUCCUGCUGAGCUCUGAUCAGGUCAAGGAUUGGACAUGCAACAUCAUGAUUCUUCUCUUCUCAGCCUUUCUGCUGUUUUCGCUGCUGAUCUCGAGACCAUUGUCCAGUUGCAUGACCCAAUUUCCGCCCAGCUUUAGCUUUCAGACAGAUGGCCUCAUUUGAGUAUAGAAUACUUUGCUUUGUCAACACACGGGAGUGAUGAUGGUUUGCAUAAUCACUAAACAGUAAAAAAGGUUUCAGGUUCUUCCUGCAUGAUGCUCUUUCCACAACUUAACAACAUAAAAAUUUUGUGUGGUGUUUUGUUUAAUUUUGUGUCAAACUGGUGUCUUGCUUUGGGUCACCCACCUUUAAUGCACUGUCAAUGGGAGCAUGCUCCAUCCCCAUGGGGACCUUAAACUGAAUAGCUGUAGAAAAUAGACUUUAGAGCUGAGCCACACCAGUAGAAAACAUCAUCAUCAAAGAUAUUGUAGAUGUUUGAUACAGGACAUCAUGUCAUUAUCAACAUAUGAGGCCUGUUCUGCACAAUCCACGGAAAGCUUUCCAGUUGGAGGAAUGAGCUCACAUUAGGGAAAAAGCUCAUUAAAAUCUACAGGAGAUCAUCCUGAUGGACUGUGAAAAGCCAGGCUUAACACACCCUUCUGUACACAUUAAUACGGAUGGAGACACGCAUAUCACAUACAGAAUCUCUGCACGUAUGACAGGAAAAAUGCUGCUGAAGGAUAUGAGCUGAGAGCUUAUAUCCUGAGAAUCUGGUGCUGAAGCUGAAGAUUUGUAUUUUUUAAAGUGAAUAAAUAACAACUCUUAAUUAACCAAUAUUUUUGUUACAUUUAAUAUCUGAUUUCCGAGUUAGGAUUUCUUACAAUACUGUUUUCAUACAGACGUGCUGCUUCUGUCACAGCCAGACUGUGUGGUGUUGGGGCCUGUGCUUGCAGUCCCACCUUCCUGACUGUAGUGAACCAGUGCACUACAGUCAGCAGGCAGUCAUCAUUCAAAAGCAGAGAAACUGAAAAACAUUGUGUCUUCAAUGAAACCAGAGAGGAAAUAGUUGAAUUUAGUCUUUUUGAAGAAGUUUAA